UGGAAGAGAACAUCCAAGUCCUGAAGUGCUGAAGUCCCGAAUUUUGGAAGUGCCGAACCGAACCAAGGUGCAGAAGUUCCGAAAUGCCAAAGUCCAGAAUUUUCAGAAUACCGAACCGAACCGAAGUGCCAAAAUUCUGAAGUCCAGAAUUUCAGAAUGCCGAACCGAAUAUUUUGCCCAUGCACAUCCCUAAUGUACUCUAUAAGAGAGUAAAC